rnacentral:tRNA from 1 species
GGGUCUAUAACUCAGUUGGUAGAGUGCUGCUUUUGCACGGCAGAUGUCAGCGGUUCGAAUCCGCUUAGAUCCA